rnacentral:rRNA from 1 species
CAUGACAGAGAUGAAAUCGUAACAAGGUAGCGCUAGGGGAACCUGGCGCUGGAUCACCUCCUUAAACGAUGAU